AUGGCCGCAACCAAUGCAAACAUGCAGUUGAUCAUGCAAAUUCUUCAAGAGCGCAACCAAGCGAACCAAGGCAACCAAGGCAACAAUCAGAAUCACUUUGCUACGCUCAACCAGUUCCUUGCUAACGGGCCAAAGACCUUCAGCAAUUGUGUUGAGGCAACUGAUGCUGAUGAUUGGCUCAUGGACUUAUGCAAGCAUUUCGAGUGCAGUAACGUCAGGCCUGAGGACUUUGUCAAGUUCGCUUCCUUCCAACUCAAAGACCAAGCUGCAGAAUGGUUCCAGCAGUACAAAGAUUCUAGAGGAGGCCGUGUGAUUACCUGGGAUGAAUUCCGUCAAGACUUCAAAGAUCAUCAUAUUCCUCAGAGCGUGGUUGAAAGCAAGCGUGAGGAAUUCCACAACCUGAAGCAAGGCUCUUUGUCUGUCUAUGACUACAACAAGUUGUUUCAGAAGCUCGCCCGCUUUGCUAAGCAAGAUGUCCCUGACGAGAAGAGCAUGAUAUACCAGUUCAGGGGUGGUCUCAGAGAAGAAAUCCAGCUAGCUCUUGUUCUCUUUGAGCCCUUGAGGUACGAUGAGUUCUACAACAUGGCAUUGAAGCAAGAGGCUGCUCACUUGAAGUGUGAUGCUUCCAAGAAGCGAGUCAGAGAUGCUACUCCUUCUUCCUCUACUCAAGUGGCCAAGCAGCAGAAGUAUUGGCUUCCUCCUCCUCCGUUUCAUCAGCCGUAUCAGAAGAGCAAAGGUGGCAGUGGAUCUUCCCACCCACCCAACCCUGGCUUUCAGAACAAGACUCCGUCUCAAGCUCCAAGAUCGAGUGCUCCGUAUCACCGUCCACUUUCAGAGGUCACGUGCAACAAGUGCCAACAGAAGGGUCACUAUGCCAACAAAUGCUUCAACCAGAGGCGUCUCCCUCCUCCUCCUCCUGUGAGAUCGGCAAGUACAGCUGUGGUCAAGCAUAACCCCAAGUACACCAAGGUCAACAUGGUGAAUGCAGCUCAGACACAGGACUCGUCAGAUGUCAUCAUGGGUAACCUUCCUGUUAACGAUAUUCCUGCAAGAGUUCUUUUUGACACCGCUGCAUCGCAUUGUUUCAUCUCGAGACCUUUUGCAUCUAAGCAUGAUUUUGUUACUCAAGCAUUGCCGAAACCGUUGGCUAUUGUCUCUCCGGCCCGUCAAAUGACAAAUGACAUCUCGAGUGUGCUUCCGGAUGUUACAAUCACUUUGGGUGACUAUAAGUUCUUGUCCUCUCCAAAUGUUCUUGGUGACUCGGAUAUCGAUCUUAUUCUCGGAAUGGAUUGGCUUUCUAAGCACAAGGCUCAGCUUGAUUGUGCAACCAGGUAG
rnacentral:rRNA from 1 species